rnacentral:rRNA from 1 species
UGGGGAAUCUUGCACAAUGGGCGCAAGCCUGCUGCAGCCAUGCCGCGUGUAUGAAGAAGGCCUUCGGGUUGUAAAGUACUUUCAGUCGGGAGGAAGGUGUCAAGGUUAAUAACCUUGGCAAUUGACGUUACCGACAGAAGAAGCACCGGCUAACUCCGUGCCAGCAGCCGCGGUAAUACGGAGGGUGCAAGCGUUAAUCGGAAUUACUGGGCGUAAAGCGCACGCAGGCGGUUGAUUGAGUCAGAUGUGAAAUCCCCGGGCUUAACCCGAGAAUUGCAUCUGAUACUGGUCAGCUAGAGUCUUGUAGAGUGGGGUAGAAUUCCAUGUGUAGCGGUGAAAUGCGUAGAGAGGUGGAGGAAUACCGGUGGCGAAGGCGGCCCCCUGGACAAAGACUGACGCUCAGGUGCGAAAGCGUGGGGAGCAAACAGG